UUUUAUGCUGUGUGGGGGGGGGAAAAUGUCGAGCUGCUCUCCAGGUCUCCUUUCUCUCUGGGAGCCGAGGGCUGCGCUUCUCCUCCUCCCUUUGCAGACACGCUGGCCUCGUGCACUGCCCAGCUGGGUGCGUGGCUCCCGCCCUGCAGACACUGUACCAGUUCACCAAGACCUCGUUUGUACUCAAGUGCCACUUGCUGGUGGGAGCUGCAGUGCUGGUACUGUGCCAAAGGUGGGCUGUGCCGAGCCCUGCAGCGAGCGCUGGGAGCUGCAGAGCUGAGAGGGAGCAGAGCGUUGCACAGAGCAUUGCUAGGAGGUGUGCUAACAUUGCUAGGAGGUGUGCUAACAUUGCUAGGAGGUGUGCUAACAUUGCUAGGAGGUGUGCUAACUUGCUGGCACAGAGCAUUGCUAGGAGGUGUGUUAAUAUACUGGCAGAGCGACUGACCCCAUGCAGGGGGCUUUGAGGGUGCUUCAGCUGUGGCCGUUUUACUCAGGAUUGCUGUGUUACUGUUCAAUGUGUGAUUUGGUUGAACGUGUCCAAAAGUUGUUUCUGUAGGGGUUCGUUCUGGCAUCCUUCUGGAAGUUUGGCCUUAGAAAUGGUUUUUCUGGAGUGAGGUGGGUUUCUGAAAGCUGUCAGUCAAAUUAUUUCUAGGUGCCAUUGGUCCUAAACCAGUUUCGCUUUGUGUACCGAAUUUUGUCCUUUACAAUGCUCAGUGUAAGGCACCAGAUACCUUCUGUACAAAUUCCAGCUACAAAUACUGGCUUUUUCCUAGCCUGGAAGUUUGCUCUGUUGAAACUCCGAGCUCCGCCUGCCCUUCAAACAGCUUGAGGCCUUUUUUCUUUCUCAAUAUUCCCUUCACAUCUUGUCCUCUUCUAAUAUUCUCCCAGUUUUGUGAGUUGAGGGUUUCGGACCUUCCUCCGAGCACUUUUAUAACCUAGGAACCCAAAGCUCUGCUGCCGUACCUUGCAGUUAUCCAUUCCAUUUCCAGAGCUGCCGUCCAAACGGCCGUCCCUGUCCCUUCAGUGCUGUGGAGUUCUGCUGCUGAUGGCUUGAUUGAAUCUGGUGGAAAAAAUCCAUAGGGAUGUGAAAGGGAAGGAUCCCAGUCUCUCCUUUCCCUACCCAAAGAUGGUACUUUACAUUGGUAUUGAGUGUUAGGAGGCUCAUCUUGUUUUGGCACGCGUUUCAGUAAGACAUCACCUAGCUAAUUGACUCGUUGUGACCUGGAACUGUAGAGGUUAGAGCUUGAGCUAAUUGCUGCUUGCUGCUAGCAAGAAGUUGUGUGUUUUUCAGUAGCUGAGUUACAAACGGAUUGGGGUCCUGAGCCCCAAGAAGCCUCAUCUCUGUAACACUAGAACAACAACGUUUGUCCCUCAGCAGGCAGUGUGUGCAGAAGGGCAGGGGCUGCAGGGGAGGACAUCGAAGCCUCGGUACUGCAGAAAUGUGUCCUGCCUGCCCUGGCCUUUCUGGCUCUGUCUGAGGUCCCCCCUCACCUAACACGGGUAGUUACCGUAGGGUCCUUCAACAACAAAGUGGUUCUGUUUAAAAUUUGGAGUGAAUAUUUUAUUUUUGAGCAAGACAGUCCUCAGAAAGUGCCUUUGUAGAAGACGGUGCUGUAGAUUUUAUUUUCCAGUUGUACGUGGCUGAACAUUUAAGAUAAAUAACUGUAAAUGCCAAGUGUCUGAUGGUACCUAUAGGUACUUUCAGGCAUCAGUUCUCUGAGUCAGGACCAAGCAUAACCAGGAUGGUGGUUUCCUUUGGAGGGAAAGGCAUUGGGGAGCAAUCACCAAGCACUGCUGGGGAGGAGCAGCUCGGGUGGAAGGUCUGUCUCCCAGGCAUUACAAAGUCCCAAGGACAAAGCAGACGAGCUGAGCGCUGUCUGGUGAUGCAGGGAUGGUCAGUGCUGCACGCAGGCGUCCUGUGGGUUGUGUUCUAACAGUGUGCAUUUGUGCUUGGGACUUGUCAUUCCUAGCUGGGAGAGAGAUGCUGUGGGCCCUGCCCAGAGGGCUGGCAGUGCUGUGGGUCCAUGGUGAGCAUUGCUUCCGUUGGGAAAGGCUGUCAGCUAGACUAUUAGCCACUGCACCUCAGUAACCUCGUAAUGCUGCGUUAAUAAUAGCAAAGUUCUGCUUUGAUGGCACUGCCGUGUGCUUGCACGUGCCUGCAAAAAUGCCCUCUUUCACUUUUGUAACGCUCUCGGUUGCGGUUACCUGCCUGCUCCUUGGGGAACUGCAUCCUUGGGGUGCUUCUGUGUGUAGCUGCUCUGUGUGUCCCAUCUGCCUGCUGCUGGCUGCUCUUUUUAGGUGCGAAACGUUUCUGAAUGGUUGUUUUUUUUUCCUUUUCUGAAGUCAGCUCGACUCUUUAAGAUGCAUUUGAGAAGAGAACAAACAGAACAACUCAGUAGACAGGCUGCUGUGUGGGGUGCUUUGGUUUCAAGUUGGCCAUUAAAAUGAAUUUGUGUUGACUUCAAUCACUGUUGAUGCAGUAUUGGGCGCUGCAGAUGUCAGGAUGGUUUUCAGUAUCAGCUGAAGCAUAAAAUUCUGCUUCCCUUGGGAGCAGCAGUGCUGCAGGCACACACUUGUACCCAGGCGUUUCCUAGGAGCGAGCAGAGCUGCUUCACAUCUGUUGAGCAGAACAGGAGCCAUGAAACGUUUGGGUUUGCAGUGCUGGGGCUGUGACACCGCUGUGCUUCACAUCCAUGGCAGAGCUGCUGUGCACAGAGCUGCACACAGAGCAUCGCUUCUGGCUGAAUUAAAGGCAGCAGUUCCUUUUUGUUCAGCAGCUUUGUUUUGGAGCAGCACUCAGUGCUGCUGCUGUAGUGUUUAAGCUUUGCAGUGGUUUGUUCCUGAUUUCUUACUGCUGUUAGGCUGGGGUUUAGAAAGCAUUUUGUCAGCCUGGGUUCUGAGCCCGCUUUCUGCAGCGGCCAUUUCUAUCUUUUAGACUAAAAAGGGCCAAAAAUCUUGUUCCAUCAGCUUGUUUGCAGCAAUGCUCUCCAUCUCUUCCCCUGCCUAUGAACCAGAUUAUUUUCUAUCUGUGCUUAGCCAGUGCUGAAGCUGUUGAGACGUGCACAUUCCUAUCUCCUCCUUCUCUAUGUUACAGAUGUGAUCAGAAGCAAUGGAAGGGCAGAGCUGUGUCUGAGGGUUCCUGCUGGGUGCAGAUCCCUGCUGAGGUGGGCUGUAGCACAUGAGGGUUAACUGCAGUAGCAGUGUCUGUGUGCUGCAGGUGUGAUGCAGUUCAGCUGGGUGCUUUAACACGAGCCAGUUGCUGAAGGUGUAGAUACUGAAGAGGCAAACUUGUUGAAAAUGGCAUCAUUCCUCCUGGCAAGGUUUAUAAUCAGUGCUACUCAUAGUAAAUGGUGCUGUGCUGGGGUUGAUCCGAAGUUGAAAUGACUCAGCUGUGUGUUUUAUGAAGAGGAGAGGAGGUGGUGACUGUGCUGUCAAACCAGUAGUAAAAAGCUGGGAAGGCAGGAGGGAGAGUUGACUGUGCUGAAAAGCUCCAAUGCUGCUGGAGCCAUCUGAACUUGUCCCUUUGCACCCACAGUUUACUCCAGCACCCACCAGUAACUACUGCAAGAACUAAGAGAUGAGGAGAGAGGUUUUUUCCUGUCUGUUGGUAAGCAGGAGUGCCUGCUCACCUCCACAGCCGUGCUGAGCAGCAGCAGCAGUGCCUGCGACAGCCGUGCCGUUCGAUCCCAUCUUCUGUGUGCUCUGAAUCCCAAAGCAGCCUUUCCUGGUUCAAAACAGAGAUUCAGGAGGUAGGUGAUGUUCCAAACAGCAGAGCCGUGGGUUCUGUGAGCAGUGUGUGGCCCCUUUACAAAGCACAGACGCUCCAAUGAUUUCUGGCUGCAGUUCUUUGGGCGGUUGGUACAGCAGCUGCUGAAGGAGCUCCCAUGUUAGCUUUGGUGUCCUGGGCUGCUUGGGUCAGACUUGAACUCGUUGAGAGCAAGCAUGUGCCUUUUUCUGAUCCGAGACAGAAGCUGGAGGAGCUGGCAGUCUGUGCUGCUUGACAGUGGGGUCAGUGUUCUUGAGCUGCUUGAGGCUUGGUCAGGACGGAGUCGGUUUGGUGUUGAGUUGCUUAAAGGGAGCCCUGAAUUAUUUGUGAAUGUAGCUACCCAGAGAGAAGAAGCUUUAAAGUAAAUGGUUUCUGGAGAGUAAUGUCAUCAAACAAACAGAUUUGGUGGUAGAGCUAGUUUUCUUUUAAAUGAAAUUGAACACUGAUAUGUUUCUCCAUAGAGAGCCAUUAAUUCUGCCUUUAUCUGAAUGUUGCCUGUCCCAUAACGUCUCUGCUGUGCUCCUGCAGCUUCCCUGCUGACUGUAAGGACCUGAGGAACGUUGUUGGCAGAGGUUGGGAAGUGGGAACGUGGUGCUGAGGGCUGAACAUCACUGGAGGUGGCUUUAAGGAGCGGCCUGCCAGCAGCUGAAGGUGCUGAGACUGGGAUAGGAUGUGAGGCAGCGGGGUGCUGAGGGGAGAAAUGAGAAUUGAGCCUCUCCUCUCACACCCAGCUGUGCAGCGAAGGCUGCUGGCUGCCUCAGGUGCUGGUUCAGGCUCCAGGCUGUGCGUGCGGAUUGUCGGAGAAUAACAAGAGCUUUUCGAGGUGUUUGCUGCACGUUGAGGUACUGCAGGGUUCCCAGCCAGCAGCUCUGGCAUCGGCGCUGGCUGUGAGAUGGGUUCCCUCCCUGAUUUCAGGGAAUUGAUUUUUGCCUCAGCUUUCUGCCCUAUCUGGAACACAGGAUGCCGUGCGCUGCCUUACGAGAGCCCAGCUGUGUGUUGUGAGCAUCAGCCCUGCUGUGAAGUGCUCCAUUCCUGCUACAAACCCGUGCGCCUUCCUGCCAGUGGCUGUUUGCAGUCUGUCCAUCCGAUGCAGCCUGUGCCCUCAGCUUUAUCUCAGCACCGCUGGCCCACGGAGCUCCUUGGGCUCGGUCCCCCUGUGUGCACUGCUGCUUUCUGUGAGCUUUUUUUGCAAAUUAGGGAUGAGUUGAUUCAAAUAAAAGGUUUCCUUUACAUUGCUGAGAAUCUCAGAGGUCUCUCAAACGCAUUUAGCAGCUGAAAAAUGAGUUCCUACCAUAAUAAUCUCCAACAACACGGAGAAGUAUGAUUAUCUUGAGAUGAUCUCACCUGAAUCGUGGGUCCACAACCAAUUUUGAUACAGCUGUGCGAAAAUUAGGCAUUAAAAUAGUUACUAAUCAUCUUUCAUAGUGCUAACACUUGCAAAUCUCUUGAGUGCAUUCGGAAAGUUUAUUUGGGUGUCUCACAUGUCAGUGCUUGCUCUGCUGGCUGAGCAGUAGCAAUGGAGCAGUGCUACAGCUGAGGAACCUUUGGUGUUUGGAGCACGCCAGCAGAGCAGUGCUUGUGUGCAGGGGAGAACGGAGUGCCCAGCAGAGCCGCUGCGUGAGGCUGAGAUGAAAUUUGGCUGCUGGCAAUUUGCACACAGCUGCCUUCCUCGGGGCUCUGGUUGUGUGCAUUGCAGCCUCCUGUGCCUGCAGCUUUCGGUUUCCUUCGGCUUCGAUUUCUGCUCCUCAGCAGAGCGCUGCCUUUCCUGCCCUUGUCAGUGUUCAAUCUGUUGAAUCUCGCCUUGAGAAAACUCCACCUUGUUUUCCUGUAGGUAAACCUGCUUCUAGACAGCUGCGUUUCUGCUCUGUUCCACAGGCAAUCCUGCGAAGCCUCAGCGCAGCAUCAGCAGCUGCAGAAUGGGUGCUCAGUGAUCUCCCAGCUGUGAGCAGAGGCGCCGUGGGGCCUCGCCAUGCAGCUCUCCUGUCCGUGCCGUUUCCUCCCUUGCUGUGAGCAGUUAGGCUUCCCCAGGUGUAUGAAAUUGGUGGAGAAAUGGCACUGCUGCUUGUUUUUUUGGGGGGAGGGGGGAGAAUUCAUCUGUCAGAAUGCACUGAGGCAUCAGAUCGUAGAGCAGGAUGUUGUCAUUGAGAGGCAUCGCCUGAAGCUUUCAUUGUGAUUGGUGAUGAGCCAGUUCUGGCUGUUGGAACAUCUCUGGUGGCAGCGUUGCUGUGCAGGAGGCUGCGGGGAGCAGCGUUGUGCAAAUACACCCUUUGCAUAUUUACCACCACCUGUUCAAAUGACAAACAAAACUGUUGUGCUGUUUGGGAUUCCUUCUCAGAAUAAAGUUCUAAUAAACGAA